AGUGAGAUAGCUGGAUCAGAUGGUGGUACCAUUCCAAAUUUUGUGAGGAAUAUUCAUACUGCUUUCCAUAAUGGUUGCACCAAUUUGCUGUCCCACAGCAAU
rnacentral:pre_miRNA from 1 species